UGUUCAAUUAAUUUACUGAAAUAGAGAGCGUAUGAUUUUUUACUACGAUAUGCAGAAUCCAACAACACUGUAAACUUAAAAGAUUUUGGAAGACGCUAAGGAAAGUUUCCCGUUCUCACCUUGGAAAGAAACCAUGUCUUAUAAUAUUCUAUGAAAAGAAUUGAAGAAGGAAUGCAUCCUAGUUUUUACAAAUUUAAAAGACAAAUAGGAAAUCUAUUACAUUAAGAUAUUCCUAACAUAUUUAAGGUAUAUUGCCAAGCAUUGUAUUGGGUAAUUGAGAACACUUUUAAGCAUCAACUGGCAAUAAGUAAUGUAGAGAWAACUAUUCUUUAGAAAUAAGAUAUAUAUUGUAAAAGUAGAAGUGCCAUUGAUAAGUACUAUGGAAAGAAUGUYUUACUUUCACAAGAAUAAAGGAGAAGAAAAAAAUAUUAACAGAAAAUCUUUUUCUAUUGAUCAUAAAAGUUUUUCACAUGCUUUCUAAGAUUUAACUAUAUUUUUGCCAUCAUUUUAAAUAUAAAUCAUUCAAUAUAUUAAAGUGUUUCUUGUACAAUUUCGUAAAAGAAGAAUAGAUUAAAGGAAUAAUCUAGUAGCACAUGAUCUGGGUAGAAAAGAAGAAAUCUGUAUUAUYCUGAAGAAACAUACCACAUUAUUAUACAUUGGGCGGCAUUAAAUAAUAUAAAAUGUAUUUGUUGUUUCAUUCAACGAAUUGAUACAUAAAUUUUCUUUUAAUUAAUAUGUUUGUAUAUUUGAUAAUGGGUGUGAUUUUGUAAGAGAAGAUAUGAAAUGAAUUAUUUAUUUCAUAUAUCUAUAAUUUAAAGCGCAGAGAAGUGUUUUAUUAGCUCAAUAAUGUAACAAAUUUAUUGUAAUUUUAAGGACGAUGUCCUACCACGAUUGUACAUUAAAUAUUACUAAUAAAUAUAUAUUUUCUAAAAA